rnacentral:lncRNA from 1 species
AAGAUGGCGAGUCAGAUACUGUGGAUGUGCUACCCCCUUGCCCUCCAGAAUCACCAGUAGAGGAAAAAACAGAAGAAACCAAAACUGUAGACCCAGAUAAGAGGACAGUAACUUGCAGCAAGUGUAAGGAACCAGGACAUAAUAAAGCUUCAUGCAAGGCCACCUUAUAGGCUCUUUGCUUUGCAUCUUGUACAGCUCUUAUAGUUACAUGUUAGUGACUUGUGAUGUAUUGCUCAUCGU